CUACGGGCGGCUGCAGUGGGGGAUAUUGCACAAUGGGCGAAAGCCUGAUGCAGCAACGCCGCGUGAAGGAUGACGGAUUUCGGUCUGUAAACUUCUAUCAGCAGGGAAGAAAAUGACGGUACCUGACUAAGAAGCCCCGGCUAACUACGUGCCAGCAGCCGCGGUAAUACGUAGGGGGCAAGCGUUAUCCGGAAUUACUGGGUGUAAAGGGUACGUAGGCGGCUGAUCAAGUCAGAUGUGAAAGCCCGGAGCUCAACUCCGGGAUUGCAUUUGAAACUGGUCGGCUAGAGUGCAGGAGGGGAAAGUGGAAUUCCUAGUGUAGCGGUGAAAUGCGUAGAUAUUAGGAAGAACACCAGUGGCGAAGGCGGCUUUCUGGACUGUAACUGACGCUGAGGUACGAAAGCGUGGGGAGCGAACAGGAUUAGAUACCCCCGUAGUC
rnacentral:rRNA from 1 species